rnacentral:misc_RNA from 1 species
GAAAUGCGAUAAGUAGUGUGAAUUGCAGAAUUCAGUGAAUCAUCGAAUCUUUGAACGCACAUUGCGCCCUUUGGCAUUCCGAAGGGCAUGCCUGUUCGAGCGUCAUCUAAACCUUCAAGCCCUGCUUGGUGUUGGGUGCCUGUCCCGCCUCCGCGCGCGGACUCACCUCAAAUCCAUUGGCGGCCCCCGCGUCGGCCACGAGCGCAGCAGAAACGCGAACUCGUGAGCCCGUCCGGGCGGCUCCCAGAAGCUACACCCACCCAGUUUGACCUCGGAUCAGGUAGGGAUACCCGCUGAACUUAAGC